CUGGGGCCGAUCCCAGCUAUCUUUGGGCAGUCGACGAGGUACACCUUGAAUUGGUUGCCAGCCAAUUGCAGGGCACACAUAGACGAACAACCAUCCAUGCCUACAAUCACACCUCGGGACAAUUUGGAGUGCCCAAAAACAUGCACGGCAUGUUUUUGGAAUGUGGGAGAAAACCGGAGUACCCGGAGAAAACCGACCUCGGCAAGGGGAGAACAUGCAAACUCCACACAGGAAGUCCAGAGCCGUAAUCGAACCCUGCACCUCUGUACUGUGAGGCCCCCAUGCUAACCAUUGCCGUGGAUGCCUGACCCGAUUAAAAAAAAUAUAUAUAUAUAUAUAUACUGUAUAUAUAUGGCCUCUCUUGCAGGUGUACCUAAUGAAGUGACCACUGACCAACCAAUGACACAAGCCGUUCCACUUUGGGUUGCUAGGCAUUAAAGGAAGGGAAAGUGUCAAACCAGCUGCUGGUGAAGAGGGCAUACACCCUUGUGUCCCGCCAGUCUUCGGCAUGCUGCACAUAGAUGUCCUGCAGGCGGUUGAAAUACAAGGACUCCUCUGGGAAGCCGCACACCAAACGAGCCUUGAGGAAAGAUGU